CGGAUAUUAUUGACGAUAACGAACGUUGUUUCCAUUUAUUUUUACCGGUAGAUGGCAAUCCGGCAUCGACUUGGUAGCGUGUAGUUUCUGAACCCGAAUUAUGAAAUGAUGUAAUUUGUAUUUUGUACUUUGUGGUCAGUCCGGAAUCGUCUGUCGUCAUUCGGUGGUCAAACGCUUUAGGUCACGGCUUAAGGUCACGCUUUAGGACGCAGCUAUAUACCAACAUCGUCUGUCAUGUGUCGUGUCGUGUCCAAAAUUUGAGCUCUGCCCAACUCUAGUAAUUUCCCGGUAGGACAUGGUUAGUGAAUGAUACCAUGUCACCAUGAUUACAACUUCCAAGAACGAUUAAAGGCACACGCCAGACGACGUAGCAGCUGUGAAGCUGACUGUUGGCGGAUUGGCAAUACAAUAAUAAUGCAAUUUUACUAUAUUAUUAAGAUUACUAUUUUUUAUAUCGAUAAUAGAUUAGAUAACAUUUACAGAAGAAUCAGUUCAAGGGACCUAGAUAAUCAGAUAUUCCGAUUGUUAAAUCCGAACAUCGUUUAUAUGUACCAUCUGGAUGACAAAAACAUACUGCACGUGAGAUACAAAUAUACAAUUAUACAAAGCCAACCAAGUACAAGAACAUGAAUUUAGGUCCGAAUGUACCUAAAUACUAAAAAGUUGCUGUUUGUUUCUUGACAAGAAGACGAAAAAACUGAAUAGAUCAUAAGAUUUACACAGAAAUACCGUAUUGCGAGUGGAUUUAAAUAUUUAAUAAUAUUUAAAAGUUAAA